rnacentral:rRNA from 1 species
UACGGUAGGGGGCUAGCGUUGUCCGGAUUUAUUGGGCGUAAAGAGCGUGUAGGCGGCCAGGUAGGUCCGUUGUGAAAACUCGAGGCUCAACCUCGAGCUGUCGAUGGAAACCAUCUGGCUAGAGUCCGGAAGAGGAGAGUGGAAUUCCCGGUGUAGCGGUGAAAUGCGCAGAUAUCGGGAAGAACACCCGUGGCGAAGGCGGCUCUCUGGGACGGUACUGACGCUGAGACGCGAAAGCGUGGGGAGCGAACAGG